rnacentral:rRNA from 1 species
UGGUGGAGUGAUUUGUCUGGUUAAUUCCGUUAACGAACGAGACCGCAGCCUGCUAAAUAAUCACAGUAAUGAUUUUUCAUUGCU